GAGGCGUGCGGUGAAGAUUUGAUCCGCCUGUAACGCUUUAACUAACUCGGCACUGAUUAUGAAGAGAGUUAAUUGGAGGUUAUUUUAUUGUCUUCGUGCUUUCCUAUCUCUAUUCCUUCUAAUCUCUCUAUUAUGACCAUUUCCUUUUCCGAUCUUCCUCACAUCGGGUCCCCCAUCGCUUCCCGAUCUCUCCCAUUCUAGAU
rnacentral:misc_RNA from 1 species